GUCCACGCCGUAAACGAUGGGUGCUAGACGUUGGCGAGCUUGCUCGUCAGUGUCGCAGCUAACGCGUUAAGCACCCCGCCUGGGGAGUACGGCCGCAAGGUUGAAACUCAAAGGAAUUGACGGGGGCCCGCACAAGCGGUGGAGCAUGUGGUUCAAUUUCGACGCAACGCGCAGAACCUUACCAGCCCCUUGACAUGGGACUCGCCGGGAGCAGAGACGCUCCCUUCGGUUCGGCCGGAGUCCGCACAGGUGCUGCAUGGCUGUCGU
rnacentral:rRNA from 1 species